GAUGAACGCUGGCGGCGUGCUUAACACAUGCAAGUCGAACGGGAUCCAAGGGGUGCUUUCACUUAUUGGUGAGAGUGGCGAACGGGUGAGUAACACGUGAGUAACCUUUCCUUUUCUUUUGGAUAUGCAUUCGUAAGGCUGUUUACUACUUUAUGUUCUGUCUGCCUCGCAUGGGGUGGGUUGGAACGGCUUUGGCUGGAUUUGGGUGGUCUCGCGGUCUAUCAGCUUGUUGGUGGGGUGAUGGCUUACCAAGGCUUUGACGGGUAGCCGGCCUGAGGGGGUGGUCGGUCACAUUGGGACUGUGAUACGGCGAAGACUCCUGCGGGAGGCAGGAGUGGAGGAUAGUGGACAAUGGGCGAAAGCCUGAUGCAGCGACGCAGCGUGGGGGAUGAAGGGAUGCGGGUUGUAAACUUGUAUUGCUCUGAACAAGGCAUGGCAGUGGGUGUGUUGAGUGUAGGGGUGGAUAAGCACCGGCUAACUACGUG
rnacentral:rRNA from 1 species